UCAAGGGCUGGAGCACACACACACACACACACACCCAAGUUCAAGUUCAAACUUUGAGAACUUGGGUGACAUCUCUAGUUGCUACUGGAUUUAAUUGACCUCUGGCUUAACUGAUAUGCAGAAUUGCUGCCCAUCUGUAGAUGGAGGAGAUUCUCAAGCUGGUAUGAAACUGGAAAAUACAGGUAGCUUUCGCUGCCCAUGAUUUUGGCACUAGUGGUUUCACAUAUCUGCAGCUGGGCGAUAUACACUUGACCUCAUCAUCCAUGUCAGUCAAGCAAUCCUACAAACUGUGCAGGGGCUUGUGCUGCUAAGUGCUGGACUUCAACUAUGAGGUUUUGACAACUUUUAAGUUUGUCCAUGGCUGUUAGCCAAGUUCACAAAAUGAAACUUCCAUGUAUCAAGGCAGUAUACACCAGAAUAUUAGAUGCUGAGGACAAACAAUGGAGUGAGGCCAUCACCUUAAUGCUCUGCUUGUAGGCAGCUGCUGAUUGAAACAGAAUUAUAUGGACUGGAAAGAUUCUGGUUGCCAAGCUUACGGACAGCUAUCCAGAAAGAGGGACAUGAUUAGUCCCUAAUUAUUAUUAUUGCUCCAGUUUUAAAAUGCACUGAGGACAUUGGUGCCAACUUUGGCUCACAUUUUGUAUAAUCUAAUUGUUCUUGCAUUUGCAGUCCUUUGUUCCCCUCCCAAUUAAAAAAAAUCAAACAUCUGAAACAAGUUAACCAAGUAUAUUUACCUGACAUUGCUUAAGAAGAUAGACAUGCAACCAAAUAUUUAAAUUAGUUUUGGAUAAGCAGAA